UGCAAUCUUCCAACAUCCACAGUGAAAAAGAAAAACAACGGGGAGGAGGAGAAGCAACAGGUUCUGCUGAGUGAAGACACUUACAACAUUUAAUUCUGUCACUGCAAAGCACCUGCUGUGUUAUUGCACACCAGUGAAAUCAGUGUGGUAGUGCCGUACUACAGUGUGUUCACCAAUACAGAAGGUGCUCCCCCUCUGCAGUAUUUGGCAGUAGGCAGAAAGUUUGUUUGACUGAAGAGUGUUCUUUCCAAGCUCUCUGUUCUAGUUUCAUAUACAGUUCUGUUUCAAUUCACGUCUUGUAAAUUUUUUUCCACGAUUUCAAUGCCUUACAUUUUUGAUUCUUUGUUAUUUCAUAUUUCACAACUCACACCCUACGUGAUUUUACAGAAAAUCUUCAUAAAAUUCUGUUACCAUUUUAAAUAUAUAUAGUCCAACUGUGAAAUACUAAAGUACCCAUCUUUUUCUUUAUGCCUGUCCAAGACAGCUGUGAUCAUAUAGAUUUAUCUUUGGCCUCUGACAAGCUCUGUUGAUGAACUCUGAUGGUUUAAUUUCUCCAUCUAAAAUAUCCCAGGUGAUAAUAUUAUAGGAUAUAAAAAUAUCCUAGUCUUUUUAGUUCAGGGGCCAUCUCUUUAGGUCUUCCUAUCGCUGAAUAUCUGAUGAGUCACCUCACGGCUGCACAAAGACUUGUGCAAAUGAAGUCUUUCGGUUCAUAUUGGUUUAUAUAUGACCCUUAUUCUCCCUUAUUCAUUAACUGAAUGAUGUAAUUUAUUUUUGUUGUCAUUUUUAUUUGUCUUAAAUUUGAAGGCUAUUCUGUCUGCCCUAGAGUCUAAAAGUUAAAGAGACAGAAAUGUUAGAAAGGUUUGCCUUGCAGAGGCAUACUUUUUUCCUCUAAUUCAGGCUCUGUUUUCAUAGUCAUCAUACCAGAUCUAUUCGUUAUUUGGAUAUCCAGCAGUGUAAAUUUACAUGCUUGUAUUUCUGUCAUUUUAACCUCUCCAGGCAUAAGCAAAUAAAAAAAACCUGCCAGUGCAAAGUAAUUAGUCAAAUAUUUUGAACAAUUUUGAAUUAGCAGAGUGAGAUAGUAUGAAUCUGCCACAGUAUUUUUGAUCUGGUACCUGACAAUGCAAUGCCAGAUUAACUUUAUUGUCAAGUCAGAUGGUGAAGUUAUUUAAUGUUGAAACAGAACACCUAGCCAAAAGAUUCACUGUAUACCAUAGGUAUAUGUAUACCAUAAGAGUGGAAUGAAAGAGGAGCAAAAGAAGUUAUGAUUUGCUUAACGUUAUCUAUUGAUCUAAUGAUAAUGGAUCGAUAAUAUCAAUCUAAUGAUAUCUGUUGUGAGGAUAAGUUAAUAAGGGGUACAGUUGAUGCUGCCUAAAAGGUACUGAGGAAAUGCAUACAGAUGUCAGAGGUUUGCGGCCCCAGUUGAUGAAUCUGCCCUUUUUAGGUGACAAGGAUCUUGCAUAUUUAUAUCAAGUACUAUUGUUCCUUGAAUUUCAUGUGUUAAAAAUAUUUGAAUGAGUUUUACAGGAUCAAAAUAUUCAAAGUCAUUUGGUCCUUCAGCAGAUUUUGAAAGUUGGGUCUUGUUAGGGUACCUAAAGAUACUCAUCAGUCACUUUACCUAAAAUCAGUAAUUACUUAAACAGAAUUUAGAUUAGUAAUUUACUUUAGGUUAAUAUGUAGGGAAAUAUAAAGAUUUAGCAGCUCUUAAAAUUAGUGCAUCAAUAUAUGAAAUGUUUUUUCUCUAUAAUUUUUAUAUAGCCCUUUUGCUGCCUGAACAUAAAUUUAUUUUGGAAUGAAAAAAAAGAGAAGAAGGAAAAAAGGAAAAACUAAAAAAAGUUCUGCUCAUGAGUCCUCCUGCUCCAUUUCUUCUCCUCCUCAGUGAGGCUGAACUUCUGGCAACUAGUCUGCUCCAAUUAUAUCUUGUUAAAACAGGAAAAAAAAAAAAAAAAAAGAAUUGCUCAUUUUUGCUCAAUAUGGAUGAACUCUGUCAAUUCAUUCUAGAGUCUGUAUCCUUUUGUAGUGAAGCAAUGACAAUCAGUUUUACUGUUUUAUUUUUUCAGUUUUACUGAAACUACCAACAGGAUUGCUGGAAUGCGUAAGUAUAUUUAUAACUUUAAAAUAUUGUGGCUACAGUUGUAUAUUCCACCUGUCUAAGUGUUUUGGAGAGGGGAGAAAAUCAAACCAGUACUUAUUUCCAAGGAGAGAUCAAUUUUAACUAGAACUAGUGCAUUUUAUAUUCCUAUGCAAGUCAGGACUAACUUGGUAUUCAUGAUGCUUUUCUUUAUAGAGUACUUCAUGUGGUAUGUUUCAUUUGGAAAGUGGCGUGCGCAAGAAUAAAGGCCCAGAGGAAUAUAACCCUUCUACCUCACACAAAAAGUAAAUUAGAUUUUCUUACCAUCUGUCUUCUUCAUCAUCUGGAAAACCUGCUGCUGGUGAAAUUUUCUUCUAUGUCUGAUGCAUUUUCUGAUAAAUGUCUAGUUUGUUUAAAAGGCAGCUGUGGUUUGGAUAUAAUCAGCAAACAUCUGCAAUAAUUCAAAAGGAAAAGUAGAACCAGUGGCAAAAGUUCACCCUGAAGCUUGAAGAAGCUGUACCAAAGGUGUUAUCUGGAACACAUGAAGGCCUGACAGGAUGUCUGUGACAAAAGUAAGAUUGACUAUGUCCUGAGAUGAAGAACCUUAGCUGACCAAGAGCCCAGUCUAAUACUGUUGAAAGGAGAGCAGCUCUGAACUGCAGUUUCUCUUCCCAGUCCUGUGACUGUCAAGAGGCCAGACAGGAUCCUAGCACAACUUGAACUGUGACAAUGGUUAAAAGUCGUUAUAUAGAGAAUUUACAAUACACAUGAAAGAGAAGAUGAAAUAACAGAGCAAGACAGACAACCAGAGCUUAGGAAGAGAAAGAAGAUAAAAGAAAAGACCGGAACUGAGCAGAAAACCAGAAGUCACUGAUCACUCUUGGGUCCCUCAUCGGAGGUACCCAACUCGAGCUGUGUGAAGAGGACCCACCUACCACCAGACGGGAGCCCCCCUCCCCCCCCACCGCCGAGACUCCCAAAGGAAGAGGACCAACGGGACGCCGCUGGAUCCACGGGUGGUGAUAUCUUUUCUCUCUCUCACUUUCUCCUCUCUUUUUCCCUCUCCUUUGUUGAAUCUGUUUGAAACGUGUGGCACGGGACUUGUCUAGCUAGUUGCAGUAUUCGCCAUUUAAUUAUUCUAUUUGACCAUAUGCCUUAUCUUUGUGUUAAUAAAUCUUAAAACUGGUUGGCUGGUGUCGUUUCACCUUAAUUCAGGUCGUUGGUCCCAAGGGGAGGGAGGUCGUCCUGAACGACUCCUUUUGGGCCACGACAAUAACCCAUUUGGCAGAACAGUUCUUUCAUGUUCUAAUUCCAAGGAUGCUUAGAAGAUUAUAUAUAUA